GACGAACGCUGGCGGCGUGCCUAAUACAUGCAAGUAGAACGCUGAAGAGAGGAGCUUGCUCUUCUUGGAUGAGUUGCGAACGGGUGAGUAACGCGUAGGUAACCUGCCUUGUAGCGGGGGAUAAAUAUUGGAAACGAUAGCUAAUACCGCAUAACAAUGGAUGACCCAUGUCAUUUAUUUGAAAGGGGCAAAUGCUCCACUACAAGAUGGACCUGGGUUGUAUUAGCUAGUAGGUGAGGUAACGGCUCACCUAGGCGACGAUACAUAGCCGACCUGAGAGGGUGAUCGGCCACACUGGGACUGAGACACGGCCGAGAGUCCUACGGGAGGCAGCAGUAGGGAAUCUUCGGCAAUGGGGGCAAGCCUGACCGAGCAACGCCGCGUGAGGGAAGAAGGGUUUCGGAUCGUAAAGCUCUGUUGUAAGUCAAGAACGAGUGUGAGAGUGGAAAGUUCACACUGUGACGGUAGCUUACCAGAAAGGGACGGCUAACUACGUG
rnacentral:rRNA from 1 species